CUGCUCGCGGAGUUCAAGGGCAUAGCUGUUGAAUAUAUGCCUAAAUGUAAAAUGCCUAAUAUAAAAAGGACCUGAUCGCGUUAAUGCUGACGGUCAACUAUAUUGGUAAACCGUAGUAAUAAUACCCGAAGCACCGUUGUGGUCAAGUAAGGUCCACGUUUGUGUAGCGGCAAAUAACAGUCACACUGUGAUUGAAGUUUUUUUUUUAUCGUUUUGUUUGCCAUGGAUUGGUUAGUUAGUUUAGCUAACGGAAGCUACCCAAGCUUACGCUAGCCACCUCCACCCACACACACACACACACACAUUUGACGAUCGUAUCCAAGCUGUUAUUGAAUAAACUUCAACUUCAACGACUACUUAACACGUACGACCUCCUGUAAAGGUUUACCUACAGAGAGGCACACCUAGGAACCAAAGCAACCAAAGCAACAUCCAUGGACCCACACCUGGCAUACUAAGCACCUGAAGAGCCAACACAAAGCCGAUCAGGACAUGCCCCCCACUUUACUCCGCUCUUCCCCCUCACUAUGGCUCCCUUAAAAAGGGAUCCUUGGAACUGGGGUACUCUUCUUUUUGCUGGACCACUGGUCAGGAACUACCAUGCUUACUGUUUCAGCAAUAGUGAGGUUAUGGCUGCAAUAUCAGUGGUACACUGCUCUACGGUGUCCUCGACAUCGCCCACACGGAGGAGUGUAAAUGGCAGAGACUAUGCUGCUGAGGAGGACAUAAAAAUGUUUUUAGACGAUUGUGUGUUUGCACAAGGCCUCACAGCUGCGAGCAGAUUUUUGAAAUCAACCCAUG
ensembl:lncRNA